AUCGCUUAAGUGCAUACGGUGGAUGCCUUGACACAAGAUGGCUAUGAAGGACGUAGUGUGGCUGCGAUAAGCCUCGGGUAGGUGCUUAACAACCUGUGAUCCGGGGAUUUCCGAAUGGGGCAACCCAAUUGAGUAGACCUCAAUUACUCUUAUCCGUAAGUGAUAAGAGAGCGCACCCGGUGAAGUGAAACAUCUCAGUAACCGGUGGAAAAGAAAAAAUAUUUUAUUCCCUGAGUAGCGGCGAGCGAAACGGGAAAAGCCCAAACCCAGCUCCACCCGGCUCCAGUUCCAGUUUUGUAGUAUUUAAUUAUUACUGUACUGCAGAACUGGGGCUGGGUGGGGCUGGGGGUUGUACGGUAGAAACAUUUUUCAUUUUAUAUAGUGCUCUAACGAGCACGAAUAAAGUGGAAAGGAUGGUUACAAAACCUUUUGUUAGCAGAAGUUUCUGGAAAGAAACGCCAAAGGAGGUGAUAGCCCUGUAAGCGAAAACAAGAGGACCAUUCGUUUUUAUUCGUGAGUACUGCGAGGCAAAAACACCUUGCAGGAAUCCGCCAGUACUAGCUGGUAAGGCUAAAUACAUCUUGUGAUCGAUAGUGAACCAGUACCGUGAGGGAAAGGUGAAAAGCAGUCCGGUGAGGACGGUGAAAUAGUACCUGAAACCGUAUGUUUACAAAGAGUCGAAGUCCGCAAGGACGACGGCGUGCCUAUUGAAGAAUGAACCAACGAGUUUACAUUGUGUGGCGCUAGCCUAAGUUGUUUUUACAACGUAGGCGCAGGGAAACCGAGUGUUAAUAGCGCGUUAGUCGCAUAUGUAAGACCCGAAGCCAGAUGAGCUUGCCCUGGGCAGGGUGAAGCGCGAGUAAGAUCGCGUGGAGGCCCGAACCGGUUGAUUGUGCAAAAUCUUCGGAUGACCUAGGGUAAGGAGUGAAAAGCUAAUCGAAUCUGGUAAUAGCUGGUUCUCUCCGAGACAGUUUUUGGACUGGCGGCAUGUCCUGCUGUAUUUAUAUGGUAGGGACUUUUAUGGGGGUAGAGCUACUGGUUGAGAGUCACAGGCCGAAAGGUCGGGCUUUCAGUCAAACUCCGAAUACCAUAAAAGAAUACAUGCUAGUUAGAAUGUGGGGGCUAAGCUCCAUGUUCGAAAGGGAAACAGCCCAGAUCGCAGACUAAGGUCCCUAAAUCUAUGUUAAGUGUUAAAAGUUGUUAUCUGCCAUUGACAGAUAGGAGGUUGGCUUAGAGGUAGCCAUCCUUUAAAGAGUGUGUAACAACUCACUAUUCAAACCCAGCUCCACCCAGCUCCAGUUCCAGUUUUGUAGUAUUUAGUUAUUACUGUACUGCAGAACUGGGGCUGGGUGGGGCUGGGGUGGCAGGUAGCGCUGAAAAUGUACCGGGGCUAAACAUAGUACCGAAGUCGCGGGUUCCAGCUCCACUCAGCUCCAGUUCCAGUUUUGUAGUAUUUAAUUAUUACUGUACUGCAGAACUGGGGCUGAGUGGGGCUGGAGCGGUAGGAGAGCGUUCCAAGGGCGUUGAAGCCGGACUCGCGAGAGCCGGUGGAGCGCUUGGAAGUGAGAAUGUUGGUAUGAGUAACCACAAUGCGGGUGAGAAACCCGCACCCCGAAAAUCCAAGGUUUCCGUGGCAAUGGCAAUCAGCUACGGGUUAGGCGAUCCUAAGGCGAUGGAGAAAUCCGUAGUCGAAUAGGGAAGCCGGUUAAUAUUCCGGCCCGUCUGUACUCGCGCGAUGGAGUGACGGGGGAUAUAAGGUUGUGCGCCUUAAUGGUUUGGCGUCGACCAAGUUCAGCGUGGUAUUCCAGGUAAAUCCGGGAUACUGUCUUUGAUGACGACUCGCGCGCUUGGGCGUAAGGUUAUGGUUUUCCAUGACUAAUACAGCUGAAGAGCCCUCCAAGAAAAACUUCUAAGUUUAGUGUGCAGACUCCGUACCGUAAACCGACACAGGUGGAUUGGGCGAGUAGCCCAAGGGGAACGAGUGAUUUCUGGUUAAGGAACUCGGCAAAAAAGCGGCCGUAACUUCGGGAUAAGGCCUGCCCGUUUGUCAGUGCAUGGCACUGGAAAUUCCAAAUAUGAAAAUCCAAAUGUCAAAUAAGUUACAAAUUUGAAAUUUCAAAUUUUGAAACUUGAGAUUUAUUUGUUAUUUGGUGCUUGUAUUUUGGUGCUUCCAGCGCUGUGCGCUGGUGGAUGGGCCGCAGCGAAAGUCUCUCAAGCGACUGUUUAACAAAAACACAGCUCCCUGCGAAGACGUAAGUCGAUGUAUAGGGGGUGACGCCUGACCGAUGCGAGAAGGUUAAUCCUGCCGGUUGGAUUAUUUAUAAUCCGGCUGAGUGGGCGAAGCCCUCGUCAAUGUCAGCGAUAACUAUAAUCGUUCUAAGGUAGCGCAAUUCCUUUCCGGGUAAGUUCCGGAGCGCACGAAUGGCGUAACGACUUGAGAACUGUCUCAACCAGAAGCUCGGUGAAAAUGCGAUUCCCGUGAAGACGCGGGGUACCUGCAGCAAGACGAAAAGACCCCGGGAGCUUUACUGUAGCUUGAUAUUGGCCCUAGGGCUUUGAUGCGUAGUAUAGUGGGGAGACUUUGAAGCCACGAUUUCGGUUGUGGUGGAGUCGCCAGUGAAAUACCCAUCUUCUUGGUCUUAGGUUCUAACCUCAACGGCAAAAACGUUGCGGGACAGUGUCUGGCGGGCAGUUUAAAUGGGGCGUUUUCCUCCCAAAAAGUAACGGAGGAGUUUAUUAAGGUCAGCUUAGCUCGGAUGGAAAUCGAGCUGGACGCGUAAAGGCGUAUGCUGGCUUAACUGCAAGACGUACAUGUCACGCAGGUGCGAAAGCAGAACUUAGUGACCCGACGGAUCUUCCUAGGAAGGCCGAAGACAACGGAUAAAAGUUACCCCGGGGAUAACAGGCUAGUGUCGUCUGAGCGUUCACAGCGACGACGACGCUCGGCACCUUAACAUAUCGGGGUGCACCACGAGUAAUCGUGUUCCUGGUUAUCUGAAACGAUAAUGUAAUAAAAAAAUUGGCUUAUAACGGAGAACUCCAUAAAGCGACGUGAUAGAACCUUUAUGGACAACCCCGUGGGAAGUCGUCCCGAUUUUUGAUCGUGGAUUGACCCCGUAGAGACUUGGCCUAAGCAUCGUGGAAUGCACAAAGCCGGAGUUAACAAUGGUUAAAGUUGUUAGCUAACACGCCAACCCCCAAAGAGAUAGAUUAGUUUCAUCUCAUGGGGUGAAGAUAUAGUCCGAUCCUUCUGGUAACAGAAGCAAACAUGACAGCGAUGUCGGCUCACCCUAUCCUGGUGGUGGAGAAGCUACCAAGGGUUUGUCUGUUCGCCAAUUAAAAGGGUACGCGAGCUGGGUUCAAACCGUCGUGAGACAGGUUGGUCUCUAUCUGCUGCAGGCGUUUGGUAUUUGAGGAGAGUUGUCCCUAGUAGAUUUUGCUACUUCACGCAGUAAUGCGUGAUGACAAUUCGGCUAAUAACGGUGGAAUCUUAUGUGUUCCGGUUCGUUGAUAGCCAUACUGUGCCCGGUCCGGCCAGUAUGGUACAAUUUACUUGAGGACCGGAAAAUUCAUAAGACAAUACCGUGGGAAGUCGAUCUAAAAUUGAUUUAGCAUAUAUCGCGGGAUUUCUCGAUGGUGACGGGAGUCUGAUGCUUCAGGUAAAGAAGCGGAAAGACGAUCGUGCCGGUUGGCGUUUUAUGGCAACUAUCUGUUUUUAUCAGGAUAGUCGUCAUGAAAUUCCUCUACAGUGGUUUCGAUCUGUUUUGGGUAUUGGUUAUCUGAUUCAGCGAGUUGAUGGCAUGAGUGAGUUGCGCAUCAAUGGUUUUGAGCAGGUUGCCAGUAUUCUUAAGGAACUAUCUCCAUUUCUUAGGUUUAAGAAAUUGCAGGCAGAGGCAAUGCUUUCAGCCCUUGCGAUUUUAACUAUGAAAAAGAGAAGCGUUCUAACAAAAGCAGAUUUAAGGAAUCUUGUGGGGUACGUAGUUACUAUUCAAAAUAGUAAUUAUGUCACCAAGAGAAAAAGAACACGCGAUGAGUUGCUAGAAGUUUUGGGUUUGACCCCGUAACGACUUGUUCCAUGAAAAUGGACGGACUUAGGCAGUACCGGAAAGCUUAUAUUAGAAGUUUAUAGGCAGGGCUGCUUGGGUAAUACGCCGACACCCCACGUGGGUGAAGAUAUAGUCUGUGCUCCUAGUGAUAGGGGAAUAAACGACGAGAGGACCGGGAUGAACGAACCGCUGGUGUACCGGCUUUGCUACCAAGUGAACCGCCGGGUAGCUAUGUUCGGAACGGAUAAGCGCUGAAGGCAUCUAAGCACGAAGCCAACUCCAAGAUGAGAUACCAGUCCGGGGGAAACCCUGGGCAAUGAUCCAUGGCAGAUUACCAUGUAUAUAGGCUCUAGGUGUAAGUGCAGUAAUGUAUUUAGCCGAGGAGUACUAAUCGAUCA
rnacentral:rRNA from 1 species